rnacentral:rRNA from 1 species
GAUGAACGUUGGCGGCGUGCUUAACACAUGCAAGUCGAACGAAGAACUUGUAGCAAUACGGGUUCUUAGUGGCGAAUGGGUGAGUAACACGUAGGUGACCUGCCCUAGAGUGGGGAAUAACAGUCCGAAAGGAUUGCUAAUACCCCAUACAGUCCCGGAGGUUAGAGUCUCUGGGUCCAAAGCAGCAAUGCGCUUUAGGAGGGGCCUGCGGUCCAUCAGCUAGAUGGUGGGGUAACGGCCUACCAUGGCGACGACGGAUAGGGGACCUGAGAGGGUGGCCCCCCACACUGGAACUGACACACGGUCCAGACUCCUACGGGAGGCAGCAGUGGGGAAUAUUGGUCAAUGGGCGAAAGCCUGAACCAGCAACGCCGCGUGUGCGAUGAAGGCCUUCGGGUCGUAAAGCACUUUUCGAGAGGAUGAGGAAGGACAGUACUCUCGGAAUAAGUCACGGCUAACUACGUG